rnacentral:pre_miRNA from 12 species
CGCGUCUCCAGGGCAACCGUGGCUUUCGAUUGUUACUGUGGGAACCGGAGGUAACAGUCUACAGCCAUGGUCGCCCCGCAGCAC